rnacentral:rRNA from 1 species
GACGAACGCUGGCGGCGUGCCUAAUACAUGCAAGUAGAACGCACAGUUUAUACCGUAGCUUGCUACACCAUAAACUGUGAGUUGCGAACGGGUGAGUAACGCGUAGGUAACCUGCCUGGUAGCGGGGAUAACUAUUGGAAACGAUAGCUAAUACCGCAUAAUAUUAAUUAUUGCAUGAUAAUUGAUUGAAAGAUGCAAUUGCAUCACUACCAGAUGGACCUGCGUUGUAUUAGCUAGUAGGUGAGGUAACGGCUCACCUAGGCGACGAUACAUAGCCGACCUGAGAGGGUGAUCGGCCACACUGGGACUGAGACACGGCCCAGACUCCUACGGGAGGCAGCAGUAGGGAAUCUUCGGCAAUGGACGAAAGUCUGACCGAGCAACGCCGCGUGAGUGAAGAAGGUUUUCGGAUCGUAAAGCUCUGUUGUAAGAGAAGAACGGGUGUGAGAGUGGAAAGUUCACACUGUGACGGUAUCCUACCAGAAAGGGACGGCUAACUACGUG